rnacentral:ncRNA from 7 species
GCGGGAGUAACUAUGACUCUCUUAA